rnacentral:lncRNA from 1 species
AUGGGAAUUGUUGAAUCAUGGCCUGAACUUCUGAUUGACCACCUGAGGCGAGCAAUGAGUCAGCCAUGGGAGCACAGGUGAAGGCAAUUCCUGUGUUACUGUCCUAGAUCCCAUUUAAGGGCUGACUGCCACUAGGGAAGGAUUUCUGGAGGUUGUUCCUUUUGGUGUUUUUCUUGAUAAGCUUGGGACACAGUUGAUGAGAAGCAGUCAGGAAGUCUAGCAGAUAUGAAUAGGAAACCACUGGAAUAUAAGGCCAUUCUGUCAACUCAGAACAGACAGAUACCUACAGCUUCAUCACUGCCAGUAGCACACUGCUGGGUUGGCAUUUACUGAUCAAAAGAAACUUUGCCUGAAGAAUUUCCUCUGUCCAAAGAUAAAAGGAAUACAAUACUUUCAUGGUGCUGGUAGGACCAAAACCUGUAGAAUGGGCCCAAUGCCUACCACAGCAUACUUGCUACUCAUGAAGAGCGCAAACUGUGCACACAUGCCAAGGACACAAGCUGUAAAUAUCCAUCAUCUGCCACUGAAAAUGAGCAUGUCAGCAGGUCCUUCCACAUCAGGUCCUGUAUAAAAGUAGACCAGGAUCUAGACGUGCAUUUAUGUUCUUUAGCACAGACUUGUAAAUUAAUACAGUAUGCAUUUUAGGACAUUUGUAAAUAACUAUUUGAUGUACAUUAUAGUAUUUCAACUAGCAGAUAUAGAUUAAGAAACACAGUAUAUAAACUUUUACUUCAUUAUGUGUAGAACUCUCCAGCCUUUUUGGAGAUUGGAGUAUAAUGUUUUGGCAAAGUAUCCCCCUAACUGAUAUUUUCUACUAUUUACAUUAUGCUUUUCUACUGAAUAGUAUGUUAUUUUACAUCCAUAGUACUCAGACUAUGCUAAAAAAUAAGCAUAUAAGAUUAAGCUUCUGUAAGUCUCUAGCUGACCGUAACUAUUCUAUCUGCUUUCCUUCUGAGUAUCCUUGGCAUAAUGUGUCCUGAAGAACAUAUUCUGUUCUGAAGGGUGAAGCAAACAAUGGAAGCCAUAAUGCUACCAUAUUUGCUUACAGAACUCACAAAGAAUGUUUUCAGGUUUUGUGGCACAAGGUUUGCAUUUUGUUGACCAGAAAAAAUAAAUGCCUUCAAGCACUGAUGAGCAGUCAUGUUCAUGAACAGGUUAGUCUGACAUGUGUGUUUUGGUAAAGAACAGGAAACUGUUAUUCCCAUUUCUCUUGCAAAAUCGUUCUUUAAUGACCCAGAAAGGACCAUAUCUGACACCAAGCACCUUGAUUAAAACUGACUGCCCCCUUUGUUCUCUAGUAUUUUGUAAUCUAGUAGUUUCCAAAAAUGCAAUUGUAGAAGCAGAGCACUACUUUUCACCGUUUCUCAGAGUUACUACAAUACCUGUAGAAGUUGUAUAGUAGCUCUUAAACAAACCAGAUCUUUCAGCGUUCAAGGGCCUUUCUCCAGAGAGGUAGAUCAAUACACUUUCCCAG